rnacentral:lncRNA from 1 species
GAAGAAAAUGAAACAAGGGAGAUGAGGCUAGUAUAGUAAGGGAAAUGGAGACGAGAAAGAGGAGGAAGGGUUAGCUUCUAAAUUCCAAGUCACAUUGAUAUGGAACAGGCAAGGCCUCUCGUCUUAAACUUCAGAAAAGGAUCUGCUGAAACUUGAUAGAAAUGGAAAGGGAAAUCCUUCGGGUGGGGAACCUCCAAACAUUAGUAGUGAUAUUGAACAACUCAAAGUAUUGAGCAACUCUGCAGGCUACAUGCCUGAAGAUCACCCAUGCAGAUAGACCAAAAGGAUUAGAAUUAUCUGUUGAUAUUAAUAUUUAUUGACAUCUAGCUAGUAUUGGUAAUUUUAAGUUUUAGAUUAAUUUCUUUGGUGACAGCUAUGAUAUAUUUUAUAGAAAAGAAUUAUAUGUAUAGGCUUGCCCUCAUAGGCUCUAUUUUAAUUAGCAUUAAUUUAAUCUACUUAUUUUAUUUUUAGCACAUUUGAAACAUUCACUUAUUCUAAGAAACUCAUUGCCGAAAAGAUGAUUCCUGUAUGUAUGGCAGCUAUACAUUAAGGAGGAGUCUCCCAGAAUAUGCAAAAGUCAACUGACCUAAAUAGUAACUGUUACAGGAGCAAGUAUCUUCCUAUAUAGGAUUAUAUCAUUUAUAUGAAUUUAUAUAAUACAUUUUCUAACUGCUGUUGUGAUGGCAAAAGACUCAGCUUUGAAAGAAUUUCAAGUGUUUCAUGUCUCCAGCAGAGGGGCAGCCACCUAUAGCUGGAGGGUGGCCACAGUCAUCUCCAUGCAUCCAGUGCUAGCCCAGUGCUGGGCACAUAAAGGCACCAGUGUUUCUCAAGCCAAACCAAACUGUGGUGGAAAAUAGUGAGGGGGAAAUUGUGAGGAAGGGUUAUUUAUUUGUUUGUUUGUUUGUUUUAGCAUCCUUAUUACCUUGGUGGUAGUCUGGUUUAGAAACCUACUGUGAUUUUUUUUCUUGAAACUAAGCACCUAGAAUAUUUUAAUUAAAAAUGGUUUUUGCCACCAUUUGUUGAGCAGUUAUUACGUAUCAGGCCCUUAAAUAUACUGGGUGCUUCGGACUCCUCACAGGUGAGAUUAUUUAAUGCUCACACAGCCCAGUGAUGUGGGAAUCUUGACUCUGUUGUACGCAGUGCCUCACUCCACUGCC